GAUGAACGCUGGCGGCGUGCCUAAUACAUGCAAGUCGAGCGAACGGACGAGAAGCUUGCUUUUCUGAUGUUAGCGGCGGACGGGUGAGUAACACGUGGAUAACCUACCUAUAAGACUGGGAUAACUUCGGGAAACCGGAGCUAAUACCGGAUAAUAUUUUGAACCGCAUGGUUCAAAAGUGAAAGAAGGUCUUGCUGUCACUUAUAGAUGGAUCCGCGCUGCAUUAGCUAGUUGGUAAGGUAACGGCUUACCAAGGCAACGAUGCAUAGCCGACCUGAGAGGGUGGUCGGCCACACUGGAACUGAGACACGGUCCAGACUCCGACGGGAGGCAGCAGUAGGGAAUCUUCCGCGAGGGACGAAAGGCGGACGGAGCAACGCCGCGGGAGUGAUGAAGGUCUUCGGAUCGGAGAACGCUGUUAGUAGGGAAGAACAUAUGUUUAAGUAACGGUGCACAUCUUGACGGUACCUAAACAAAAAGCCACGGCUAACUACGUG
rnacentral:rRNA from 1 species